GACGAACGCUGGCGGCGUGCUUAACACAUGCAAGUCGAACGGAAAGGCCUCUUUCGUGGGGUACUCGAGUGGCGAACGGGUGAGUAACACGUGAGUAACCUGCCCUUGACUUUGGGAUAACUUCAGGAAACUGGGGCUAAUACCGGAUAGGAGAUCCUGCUGCAUGGUGGGGGUUGGAAAGUUUCGGCGGUUGGGGAUGGACUCGCGGCGUAUCAGCUUGUUGGUGGGGUAGUGGCUUACCAAGGCUUUGACGGGUAGCCGGCCUGAGAGGGUGACCGGCCACAUUGGGACUGAGAUACGGCCCAGACUCCUACGGGAGGCAGCAGUGGGGAAUAUUGCACAAUGGGUGGAAGCCUGAUGCAGCAACGCCGUGUGCGGGAUGACGGCCUUCGGGUUGUAAACCGAUUUCGCUCAUGACGAAGCUUUGUGUGACGGUAGUGGGUAAAGAAGCACCGGCUAACUACGUG
rnacentral:rRNA from 1 species